GUCCGGGUGGCGGAAUGGUAGACGCGCUAGCUUGAGGUGUUAGUCCUCGCAAGGGGGUGGGGGUUCGAGUCCCCCCUCGGACAC
rnacentral:tRNA from 1 species